UGAAGGAAGGGCCUUCGGGUUGUAAAGCACUUUUGUCCGGAAAGAAAACGCUCUGGUUAAUACCCGGGGCGGAUGACGGUACCGGAAGAAUAAGCACCGGCUAACUACGUGCCAGCAGCCGCGGUAAUACGUAGGGUGCGAGCGUUAAUCGGAAUUACUGGGCGUAAAGCGUGCGCAGGCGGUUUUGUAAGACAGAUGUGAAAUCCCCGGGCUCAACUUGGGAAUUGCGCUUGUGACUGCAAGGCUAGAGUAUGUCAGAGGGGGGUAGAAUUCCACGUGUAGCAGUGAAAUGCGUAGAGAUGUGGAGGAAUACCGAUGGCGAAGGCAGCCCCCUGGGACGUCACUGACGCUCAUGCACGAAAGCGUGGGGAGCAAACAGGAUUAGAUACCCUGGUAGUCCACGCCCUAAACGAUGUCAACUAGUUGUUGGGGAUUCAUUGCUUUCAGUAACGUAGCUAACGCGUGAAGUUGACCGCCCUGGGGAGUACGGUCGCAAGAUAAACUCCAAAGAGAUUUGUUGCGGGGAG
rnacentral:rRNA from 1 species